rnacentral:rRNA from 1 species
CUACGGGAUGCUGCAGUAGGGAAUAUUGGACAAUGGGCGAAAGCCUGAUCCAGCAACGCCGCGUGCACGAUGACGGCCUUCGGGUUGUAAAGUGCUUUUAGAGGAGAUGAGAAAGGACAGUAUCCUCUGAAUAAGCCUCGGCGAACUACGUGCCAGCAGCCGCGGUAAAACGUAGGAGGCAAGCGUUAUCCGGAUUUAUUGGGCGUAAAGCGCGUGCAGGCGGUUUGACAAGUUGGAUGUGAAAGCUCCCGGCUUAACUGGGAGAGGUCGUUCAAAACUGUCAGACUAGAGAAUGGGAGAGGGAGGUGGAAUUCCGGGUGUAGUGGUGAAAUGCGUAGAUAUCCGGAGGAACACCAGUGGCGAAAGCGGCCUCCUAGACCAUUUCUGACGCUAAGACGCGAAAGCUAGGGUAGCAAACGGGAUUAGAUACCCGCGUAGUC